rnacentral:rRNA from 1 species
GUGGGGAAUAUUGGACAAUGGGCGCAAGCCUGAUCCAGCCAUGCCGCGUGAGUGAUGAAGGCCUUAGGGUUGUAAAGCUCUUUCAGUGGGGACGAUAAUGACGGUACCCACAGAAGAAGCCCCGGCUAACUUCGUGCCAGCAGCCGCGGUAAUACGAAGGGGGCUAGCGUUGUUCGGAUUUACUGGGCGUAAAGCGCACGUAGGCGGAUCGUUAAGUCGGGGGUGAAAUCCUGGAGCUCAACUCCAGAACUGCCUUCGAUACUGGCGAUCUUGAGUCCGGGAGAGGUGAGUGGAACUCCUAGUGUAGAGGUGGAAUUCGUAGAUAUUAGGAAGAACACCAGUGGCGAAGGCGGCUCACUGGUCCGGUACUGACGCUGAGGUGCGAAAGCGUGGGGAGCAAACAGGAUUAGAUACCCUAGUAGUCC